rnacentral:rRNA from 1 species
AGUCGUAACAAGGUCUCCGUUGGUGAACCAGCGGAGGGAUCAUUAUCGAGUUAUUCAACUCCCAAACCCUAUGUGAACUUACCACUUGUUGCUUCGGCGCGCGCUUCGGCGCCGCCGAGGACACUUAAACUCUUUGUUUUUAUAAGCAUUUCUGAGUGGCCGAAAGGCAAAAAUACAAAUGAAUCAAAACUUUCAACAACGGAUCUCUUGGUUCUGGCAUCGAUGAAGAACGCAGCGAAAUGCGAUAAGUAAUGUGAAUUGCAGAAUUCAGUGAAUCAUCGAAUCUUUGAACGCACAUUGCGCCCGCCAGCAUUCUGGCGGGCAUGCCUGUUCGAGCGUCAUUUCAACCCUCGAGCCCGACUCUUUUGAGGACGGCUCGGCGUUGGGGGACGGCAGACUCCCCCCGGCAUCUCGCCGGGGACGCCGCCCCCGAAAUCUAGUGGCGGCCCUCCGAGGCGACCUCUGCGUAGUAACUUGUUCUCGCACCGGAAAGCUCAGAGCGGCCACGCCGUAAAACCCCAACUUUUUUCAGGUUGACCUCGAAUCAGGUAGGACUACCCGCUGAACUUAAGCAUAUCAAUAAAGUCG